rfam:Ovis aries breed Texel chromosome 8, whole genome shotgun sequence.
UCCCUGGUGGCUCAGAUGGUAAAAGCGUCUGCCUGCAAUGCGGGGGAGACCCAGGUUCGAUCCCUGGGUUGGGAA